UGCCCAGGGAUGGGAUUCGAACUCACAGUGUCCAGCUUACCAGGUAUAUGCCAUGUCCACUAGGCUACCCUGGAC
rnacentral:tRNA from 1 species